GUGAUGAACCAGGCUGCCGCUUUACCCGAUCGUUAUACGAUAAGGAAGGAGGAAAGUCCGGGCUCCGCAGGGCAUGAUGCCGGGUAACUCCCGGGACUUUUGGACAGACAGCGCCACAGAAAACAAACUACCCGAUCAAUUCGGGAAAAGGUGAAAAGGCGGGGUAAGAGCCCACCUCGGCAGUAGUAAUAUUACCGGAAAGAUUCUGGCUUCUUCAGGAAUCGCACGAGUUUUACCGCAGGUAAAACUUGAAGCCGUUUUCUGACAAAGCUGGAAAACGGCAAGCCUCAUCAGGAGCAAAGUCGAAUUGCGCGCGCAGUUUUACUGCACCGGCUGCCCGCCGGAUAAGCGCUGGUAGACUGCUAUAAAAAAGCCUGAAACGGUUUUUAAAG
rnacentral:RNase_P_RNA from 1 species